rnacentral:rRNA from 1 species
GAUGAACGCUGGCGGCGUGCUUAACACAUGCAAGUCGAACGAUGAAGCCCAGCUUGCUGGGUGGAUUAGUGGCGAACGGGUGAGUAACACGUGAGUAACCUGCCCUUAACUCUGGGAUAAGCCUGGGAAACUGGGUCUAAUACCGGAUAGGAGCGUCCACCGCAUGGUGGGUGUUAGAAAGAUUUAUCGGUUUUGGAUGGACUCGCGGCCUAUCAGCUUGUUGGUGAGGUAAUGGCUCACCAAGGCGACGACGGGUAGCCGGCCUGAGAGGGUGACCGGCCACACUGGGACUGAGACACGGCCCAGACUCCUACGGGAGGCAGCAGUGGGGAAUAUUGCACAAUGGGCGCAAGCCUGAUGCAGCGACGCCGCGUGAGGGAUGACGGCCUUCGGGUUGUAAACCUCUUUCAGUAGGGAAGAAGCGAAAGUGACGGUACCUGCAGAAGAAGCACCGGCUAACUACGUG